UUCAUUUUUAACCCAAAGAAAAUUUUCAGUUCAAAACGAAAACUACGAGGAAAAAGAUCAAAUAAAAAGUGGCUUUGGCAAGAACGCUGUGAAAAAAACGAGUUUAGUGAAUAAAACAAACAAUUAUAGCCGCGGCCGAUAAAAUUAAAGUGUAAUUAACAAAUAUUGUUGGAAAAUAAACAAAAAACUUUUAAAUUAAAUGUAUUAAUAGUUAACACUGCCAUUAUUUUAGAAAAUCUCUUAUUGAGAUUAAAAACAAAAAAAAAAAAAGAACAACAACCAAAAGUUAUAAUAUUUUAUUAAUAGAACUGGAACUGACAACAUGUUGAAAUUUAUACGUGGCAAAGGACAACAACCUUCGGCUGAAAGGCAACGUUUACAAAAGGAAUUGUUUGCAUA